UACGUAGGGGGCAAGCGUUGUCCGGAAUCAUUGGGCGUAAAGAGCGUGUAGGCGGUCCGGUCAGUCCGCUGUGAAAGUCCAGGGCUCAACCCUGGAAUGCCUGUGGAUACUGCCGGGCUGGAGUCCGGAAGAGGCGAGUGGAAUUCCUGGUGUAGCGGUGAAAUGCGCAGAUAUCAGGAGGAACACCGAUGGCGAAGGCAGCUCGCUGGGACGAUACUGACGCUGAGACGCGAAAGCGUGGGGAGCAAACAGG
rnacentral:rRNA from 1 species